rnacentral:rRNA from 1 species
AUGACACAAGGUAACCUCCUCAUACUCAACAGACGCCGUACCAACCUCUGCAACAUAAAGAUGCCAAAUUGCAUACCUCUAUUAGCAAUAAAUGACGACAAACCCGAUGAUCACCGCCGCGACGAGGCACCCAAGCAGUACUUCAUAUCCUGCAUACUCUCAGAAGGCAAUGAAUUUCAAGGCACGGGUAGAAAGGAAGGGGAAAAGGCAGCAAUGAUGAAUAGCCAUUGCCGGCCAAGGGCCAGAACGGAAGAAGCCAAAGCACGGAAAAAUAUUGGAUCAAGGAAUCGGGCCGGGUCCGGACCAGAAGACGGCAUCAACUGA